rnacentral:rRNA from 1 species
AUGAACGCUAGCUACAGGCUUAACACAUGCAAGUCGAGGGGCAGCAUGGUCUUAGCUUGCUAAGGCCGAUGGCGACCGGCGCACGGGUGAGUAACACGUAUCCAACCUGCCGUCUACUCUUGGACAGCCUUCUGAAAGGAAGAUUAAUACAAGAUGGCAUCAUGAGUCCACAUGUUCACAUGAUUAAAGGUAUUCCGGUAGACGAUGGGGAUGCGUUCCAUUAGAUAGUAGGCGGGGUAACGGCCCACCUAGUCUUCGAUGGAUAGGGGUUCUGAGAGGAAGGUCCCCCACAUUGGAACUGAGACACGGUCCAAACUCCUACGGGAGGCAGCAGUGAGGAAUAUUGGUCAAUGGGCGAGAGCCUGAACCAGCCAAGUAGCGUGAAGGAUGACUGCCCUAUGGGUUGUAAACUUCUUUUAUAAAGGAAUAAAGUCGGGUAUGGAUACCCGUUUGCAUGUACUUUAUGAAUAAGGAUCGGCUAACUCCGUGCCAGCAGCCGCGGUAAUACGGAGGAUCCGAGCGUUAUCCGGAUUUAUUGGGUUUAAAGGGAGCGUAGAUGGAUGUUUAAGUCAGUUGUGAAAGUUUGCGGCUCAACCGUAAAAUUGCAGUUGAUACUGGAUAUCUUGAGUGCAGUUGAGGCAGGCGGAAUUCGUGGUGUAGCGGUGAAAUGCUUAGAUAUCACGAAGAACUCCGAUUGCGAAGGCAGCCUGCUAAGCUGCAACUGACAUUGAGGCUCGAAAGUGUGGGUAUCAAACAGGAUUAGAUACCCUGGUAGUCCACACGGUAAACGAUGAAUACUCGCUGUUUGCGAUAUACAGCAAGCGGCCAAGCGAAAGCGUUAAGUAUUCCACCUGGGGAGUACGCCGGCAACGGUGAAACUCAAAGGAAUUGACGGGGACCCGCACAAGCGGUGGAGCAUGUGGUUUAAUUCGAAGCAACGCGAAGAACCUUACCAGGUCUUGACAUCCUUCUGACCGCACCUUAAUCGGUGCUUUCCUUCGGGACAGAAGAGACAGGUGGUGCAUGGUUGUCGUCAGCUCGUGCCGUGAGGUGUCGGCUUAAGUGCCAUAACGAGCGCAACCCUUGUUGUCAGUUACUAACAGGAUUUGCUGAGGACUCUGACAAGACUGCCAUCGUAAGAUGUGAGGAAGGUGGGGAUGACGUCAAAUCAGCACGGCCCUUACGUCCGGGGCUACACACGUGUUACAAUGGGGGGUACAGAGGGCCGCUACCACGCGAGUGGAUGCCAAUCCCCAAAACCUCUCUCAGUUCGGACUGGAGUCUGCAACCCGACUCCACGAAGCUGGAUUCGCUAGUAAUCGCGCAUCAGCCACGGCGCGGUGAAUACGUUCCCGGGCCUUGUACACACCGCCCGUCAAGCCAUGGGAGCCGGGGGUACCUGAAGUGCGUAACCGCGAGGAGCGCCCUAGGGUAAAACUGGUGACUGGGGCU